rnacentral:rRNA from 1 species
UUUUGCAUCAUGAUAUAUUUAUUUUUAACCGAAAAGGUUUGAUUUUUAAUUGAGUUGAUUAAGGAUUAUGGUAGCGGGUAGCACAAUAAACUCAUAUAAUGCUGUGAUAAAUUAUUCGUUUUCUUUUAUAUCUGUUUGUUAUCUUAGUUUUCGCUUUAUUUAUGGGGCAGAGAGGUCCUAUAAUUGUAUACAUGUGUUGUUUUUUUGUAAUAUGAUAGGGUUAAAAUUCCCCCCUUGUAAGAAUUUUGUUGCAGAUUAUAUUACUAGUGGGUUGCAUUAUAUUUAAAUGAUAACUGUAUUUAAUAGUUUGUUAUAUAUAUGAUACAAUAAGUAAUUAUAUAAAUUUUAUUAUUUCUCAAGCAUAUUCCGUCUGUUUAUUAAAAACAUUUCUAUAUGAAAGAUUUUAUAGUAGGGCCUGCUCGAUGUUUAAUUAUUAAUGGCCGCAGUAUUUUGACUGUGCGAAGGUAGCAUAAUUAAUUGCCCCCUAAUUAGGGGCUUGUUUGAAUGGCUUGACGUGGUUGUUGCAAAUAUUAUUUUUAUAUUUGAAAUUAAUUAUGAUGGUACAGAAUCCUCUUAUAUUAAUUAGACGGAAAGACCCCGGGAUCUUUAAUUUUGUCUGGGGCAGAUUAUAUUGUUUCAUGUUGUAUAUUAUGAUCUUGAGUUGGAAUUAUUGAUUUAAGUUACCCCGGGGAUAACAGUGUAAUAGUUUAUUAGAGAUCUUAUCGAUUAAACUGUUUGCCACCUCGAUGUUGACUUAGGUAUAUAACAGGGCGCAGUAGUUUUGUUAUGUGGUCUGUUCGACCUUUAUUGCCUCCAUGAGUUGAGUUAAGACCGGCGUGAGCCAGGUCGGUUCUUAUCUAUU